UCAAAAGCAAAGACAGAAAGUAGUAACUGAUCCGCAAUUUUCAGAGAGCUUCUGGUGGGUGAAAAGAAGCAAGGAAGAUCAGUGAACGUGUUCUCGAGUGCAUUCGCAAAGCUUUGCGAGCGAAUGACGGAUAUCCCCGUUACAGGAUUCGAGUGUUUCUGAACAGGAAACUGAAAGUGAAGGCAAAAUUCCUUUUGGUUGACUCACUUUGAGUUUCAUUUUCAGAAGAAUAAAGGUGGUACCGCGCAUAGUCGUCCUUUUC
rnacentral:ncRNA from 1 species